UCCCGACACGGGGAGGUAGUGACAAUAAAUAACAAUGGUGGGGGUGUUCAUUUGCUCCNNCCAAUUGGAAUGAGAGGAUGCUAAAGCUAUNUUCGAGGAGCCAUUAGAGGGCAAGUCUGGUGCCAGCAGCCCGCGGUAAUUCCAGCUCUAAUAGCGUAUAUUAAAGUUGUUGCAGUUAAAAAGCUCGUAGUCUGAACUCUUAUGUGGGGUGCUUGGAUCGUUUGUGGGAGGCUGGACUUGAUUGUCUGCUUCCUGCCGCCCGCCUCACGCAGUCUGGGUCGAUUCAUUUCGAACCUGGAUUGUACUUCGGAGAACCGCCCUUGGAGGGGCAACUCUUCAGGGGAUCAAAGGGAUUCCGAUAGUUUACUUUGAGAAAAAUGGAGUGUUCAAAGCAGGCGGAUUCAAAUCGCUCGAUGAACAACUUAGCAUGGGAUAAUGGAAGAGGACAUUGGUUCCGAUUGUUCCCUUUGGGUUUUCGGAUUCAGGGGGGACAUCAGCCGUGUUCGCAAGCCAAUAAUGGUGUGGGACCGAUGUAAUGAUUAAUAGGAACAGUUGGGGUGAUUCAUAUUCCGUGGCUAGAGGUGAAAUUCUUGGAUUCACGGAAGAUGCACUGCUGCGAAAGCGUCUCGCCAGGAUGUUUUCGUUGAUCAAGAACGAAAGUCAGGGGAGCAAAGAUGAUUAGAAACCGUUGUAGUCCUAGACCGUAAACGAUGCCGACUCGGGAUUGGAAGGCGCUGAAUCAAGGGCGGGAAAAAGGGUGUGUUUGGGCUGUCUUCGGAUAGUUCCAAUCCGCUCCCCCGUCUUGUAUGGCCCUUCCAGCACCGCUCUUCAUUUAAAGGGAAACCAAAGUGCAUGGGUUCCGGGGGGAGUAUGGUCGCAAGGCUGAAACUUAAAGGAAUAGACGGAAGGGCACCACAACAGGCGUGGAGCAUGCGGCCCAACGCGACUCAACCCGGCGAAGCUCACCAGGCCCAGACAUGGCGAGGAUUGACAGAUUGAGAGCUCUUUCUUGAUUCCAUGAAAGGUGGCGCAUGGCCGUUCGUAGUUGGUGGAGUGAUUUGUCUGGUUGAUUCCGAUAACGAACGAGACCUUGGCGGGGAUGGCUGGGGGAGUGAAUCGUUUCAUUACGAUUCGCUUAAUUCAAACCCCUCCUGCCCGGACGUUCUGUGUUGCAGCAGACGGAAGUGCGAGGCAAUAACAGGUCUGUGAUGCCCUUAGAUGUCCUGGGCUGCACGCGUGCUACACUGACUGGUUCAACGAGUUUUAUUCGGGAGGUGGCUCUUUCGGGGGCUCCUCCUAUUCCUUGGCAGAGAUGCCUGGGUAAUCUUUUAAAUGCCAGUCGUGAUGGGGAUAGACGCUUGUAAUUAUUCGUCUUGAACGAGGAAUCCUUAGUAAGUGUUCGUCAUCAGCGAGCGCUGACUGCGUCCCUGCCCUUUGUACUCACCGCCCGUCGCUUCUACCGAUUGAAUGGUCCGGUGAGAAUGUCGGAGCGAGCGUUCUGGCAAUGCUUUCGGGUGUUGUCGCGAACUGCUUGCAAAGUCAU
rnacentral:rRNA from 1 species